rnacentral:rRNA from 1 species
CAGCAGCCGCGGGAAUACGUAGGUGGCAAGCGUUGUCCGGAAUUAUUGGGCGUAAAGGGCUCGCAGGCGGCUUCUUAAGUCUGAUGUGAAAGCCCCCGGCUCAACCGGGGAGGGUCAUUGGAAACUGGGAAACUUGAGUGCAGAAGAGGAGAGUGGAAUUCCACGUGUAGCGGUGAAAUGCGUAGAGAUGUGGAGGAACACCAGUGGCGAAGGCGACUCUCUGGUCUGUAACUGACGCUGAGGAGCGAAAGCGUGGGGAGCGAACAGGAUUAGAUACCCGCGUAGUCCCUGUCUCUUAUAC